rnacentral:rRNA from 1 species
UCCUGCGGAGGGAUCAUUACUGAGUGAGGGCUCACGCCCGACCUCCAACCCUUUGUGAACCAAACUUGUUGCUUCGGGGGCGACCCUGCCGACGACUCCGUCGCCGGGCGCCCCCGGAGGUCUUCUAAACACUGCAUCUUUGCGUCGGAGUUUAAAACAAAUUAAACAAAACUUUCAACAACGGAUCUCUUGGUUCUGGCAUCGAUGAAGAACGCAGCGAAAUGCGAUAAGUAAUGUGAAUUGCAGAAUUCAGUGAAUCAUCGAAUCUUUGAACGCACAUUGCGCCCUUUGGUAUUCCGAAGGGCAUGCCUGUUCGAGCGUCAUUUCACCACUCAAGCCUGGCUUGGUAUUGGGCGUCGCGGUGUUUCCGCGCGCCUUAAAGUCUUCCGGCUGAGCUGUCCGUCUCUAAGCGUUGUGGAUUUUUCAAUUCGCUUCGGAGUGCGGGUGGCCGCGGCCGUUAAAUCUU